rnacentral:rRNA from 1 species
AGUGAACGCUGGCGGCGUGCUUAACACAUGCAAGUCGAACGAGAACGGAUUAUAGCUUGCUAUAAUUGUCAGCUAAGUGGCGCACGGGUGAGUAAUGUAUAGGUAAUAUGCCUCUUACUAAGGGAUAACAAAUGGAAACGUUUGCUAAUACCUUAUACUCCUUAUUAACAGAAGUUAAUAAGGGAAAGAUUUAUUGGUAAGAGAUUAGCCUGUAUUGUAUCAGUUAGUUGGUGGGGUAAUGGCUUACCAAGACUAUGACACAUAACUGGUUUGAGAGGAUGAUCAGUCACACUGGAACUGAUACACGGUCCAGACUCCUACGGGAGGCAGCAGUGGGGAAUAUUGCACAAUGGACGAAAGUCUGAUGCAGCAACGACGCGUGGAGGAUGACACAUUUCGGUGCGUAAACUCCUUUUAUAUGAGAAGAUAAUGACGGUAUUAUACGAAUAAGCACCGGCUAACUCCGUGCCAGCAGCCGCCGUAA